GGUGAGGUGGGUGAGUGGCUGAAACCACCAGUUUGCUAAACUGACGCACGGGUUCACCGUGCCGCGAGUUCGAAUCUCGCCCUCACCG
rnacentral:tRNA from 1 species